ACACUUGUGAAGUUGGCCUGAGGAGACAAGUAAAAACACAGGCAGAAUUUUGUGAUAACUAGAAUUGUGCACUGCCAUGAAUAUUAAGAGGUAAUCCCAAUGUGCUGCUGAAUUUGAGAACUCCAAACAAAGGCACAAUGAAAACACUGUGUCUCCUUCUAAAAGGCAGAAAAGAAAGGAGCCUGGCAACUCUUAAUUAAGCAAAAGUGGGAGCUCAAAAAGACGGCAGCGGAAAUAUUGAAAGCUCCCAGUAAAUAGAUUUACAAACAAAGCAGUGAAAAAAAGAACUAUUUAGGCUGUUCUCCUGUUCCUGGGAAAUCAAAGAAAAAAAAAAAGAGAGAGAGAGAAGAGAAAAUUAAGGACAACUCAACACAUUUAUUCCACAUGCACGGCAACUGCAGAAACACAGGGAAUCACACUUCAGAGUGAAGAACUACAUCAUGCUUCAGUUAAAUCUACUUCUUUUAUUUUGAAGCAAGGGUGGCCAUACUACUUUGAAUUUUGGUAACCGCUAAGUACAUGUUUAAAAGAUAGUGGAUAUUAAUGAAAAUAGUUUGUCUCACAA
rnacentral:lncRNA from 1 species